GGUCCCAUGGCCCAUAGGGCACCCAGACCCCAAUAGGGGCACACGGCCCAUAGGGCACCCAGACCCAAUGGGGGCAAAGGGGCCCAUAGGGCACCCAGACCCCAAUGGGGCACACGGCCCAUAGGGCACCCAGACCCCAAUAGGGGCAAAGGGGACCAUAGGGCACCCAGACCCCAAUGGGGCACACGGCCCAUAGGGCACCCAGACCCAAUGGGGGGCACACGGCCCAUAGGGGACCCAAACCCAAUAGGGGCACACAGCCCAUAGGGCACCCAGACCCCAAUGGGGGCAAAGGGGCCCAUAGGGCACCCAGACCCCAAAGGGGUCAUCAGUACCCCAAUGGGGUCCCAUGGCCCAUAGGGCACCCAGACCCCAAUGAGGGCAAAGGGGCCUCAUAUCCCAUUGGGCACCAAUACCCCAUAGGGCACCCAAACCCAAUGGGGGCACACGGCCCAUAGGGCAUCCAGACCCCAAUGGGGCACACGGCCCAUAGGGCACCCAGACCCCAAUAGGGGCAAAGGGGCCCAUAGGGCACCCAGACCCCAAAGGGGGCAAAGGGGACCAUAGGGCACCCAGACCCCAAAGGGGGCACCCAGACCCCAAUGGGGCACACGGCCCAUAGGGGACACAAAACCCAAUGGGGUCACCAUUACCCCAAUGGGGCACACGGCCCAUAGGGCAUCCAGAACCCA
ensembl:lncRNA